UACGGAGGAUGCAAGCGUUAUCCGGAUUCAUUGGGUUUAAAGGGUGCGUAGGCGGAAUGAUAAGUCAGCGGUGAAAGCCUGCAGCUUAACUGUAGAAAUGCCAUUGAUACUGUCAUUCUUGAAUGCAGCUGAGGUAAGCGGAAUGUGUAAUGUAGCGGUGAAAUGCGUAGAUAUUACACAGAACGCCAAUUGCGUAGGCAGCUUACUAAACUGUGAUUGACGCUGAGGCACGAAAGCGUGGGGAUCAAACAGG
rnacentral:rRNA from 1 species